UAAUAGAGGCGCGGUCUUCAUCAGUAGCCGGAGCGACGUAUGGGAAUACGCCGGUGAAAGGGGAUACCGCCGAGGCUUUUGUAUAUGUCCCGAUGUACAUCUGCCGGGAUAACGUGAAAUACACGUUAUACUGUCGUUUUCUAACGGAGUGCUAUUCG
rnacentral:ncRNA from 1 species